rnacentral:rRNA from 1 species
GACGAACGCUGGCGGCGUGCCUAAUACAUGCAAGUCGAGCGGACGAAUCGAAAGCUUGCUUUUGAUUCGUUAGCGGCGGACGGGUGAGUAACACGUGGGCAACCUGCCCUGUAGACGGGGAUAACACCGAGAAAUCGGUGCUAAUACCGGAUAACACGAAAUGUCGCAUGACGUUUCGUUGAAGGACGGCGCAAGCUGUCGCUACAGGAUGGGCCCGCGGCGCAUUAGCUAGUUGGUGAGGUAACGGCUCACCAAGGCGACGAUGCGUAGCCGACCUGAGAGGGUGAUCGGCCACACUGGGACUGAGACACGGCCCAGACUCCUACGGGAGGCAGCAGUAAGGAAUCUUCCGCAAUGGACGAAAGUCUGACGGAGCAACGCCGCGUGAGCGAAGAAGGCCUUCGGGUCGUAAAGCUCUGUUGUUAGGGAAGAACAAGUAACGCAGUAACUGGCGUUACCGUGACGGUACCUAACGAGAAAGCCACGGCUAACUACGUG